rnacentral:lncRNA from 1 species
CCCGAGCUCUUCCUCGCUUCCCUCAUUGUUUGAUAAUCUAUCCAGCCCUUUUCUAAUGGACCACUUGGCCUGCUGUUUACAAAGCACAUAUCAGCACACUGUAACACUGCCAGUAGUAUUCAUACAUGGAAAGCCCACACAACGUCCAAUCCUUCUUUACCGGGUCUUUCUCUUAUUGUCACGUUGUAACCACACCCCUUAACCCUCUGCACAAUUGUCAUUCCUUCUUCACCGGGUCUAUCAUUUGCCAUGUUAUACCCACACCUCACCCUCCUGCUGUUCUAUAUCUGUAAGCAUCUUGUUGAUCCGCUAAGCAUCUUGUUUCAGUAGAUAAGUAGAGUUGUAUAGCCGUCUAACUCGUAUUAUCAUUGGUGCUUCUUGAACCACAUAAGAAUUGGACUCUUG